UGAGAGGCUCAUCACCUAGCUUCCCCGGCGAUAGAUCAUUCAUGAAACCGAACGAACCGAUGGAUCGAGAACAUGCUGCACGGCUUGCGCACCGGUCGGAGCCUCUCCUCCAUGAUCUCCUUUGUUUCCUCCGGCUCCGACCCUCUGAAACCGCUAACUCCAGCCCUCACCUCUCCAGCUCCUCCCCACUUCUUUCUCUGCUACGGUUUCUUUAGAAAUUCGCAGUGGUCCCUGAGAUUUGGGCUUUCACCCUUGGCCCAAGAGUUGCUUCCUAGCCCUAGAUUUCGAGAGCUCCCCGAGAAUUCGAGCCGCCAUGGAGGAGGAGAACACGGGGCCCUUCCACCGGGCGACCAUGAUGGCGUCGAAGAUGGCUGCUGCUCUCGCCAGCACUGAUAACCGCACCCAGCACUUUCUCGUCUUGAGGCAUUGGAAAAUGACCAUGCCGGAGCAGAGGUGGUUGAGAUUAAUGAUGAAGAUGAUGCUUCUCUAGAUAACGAUGAUCAAGUCAAAAGCAACAGCUAAGAACAUGAAGUGCAAGACUAGACAGGCGAGAGCACUGGCGAAUGCUGAGAAGGCACCAAGGAAAUUCAUACAGGAUGUAAGCACUAGUGCAUGUCUCUGGAUAUUAACGGUUGUCUGCACCUGUAAUUUGUCUCACGUGUUGCCAUUUGCUUUUAAUUGCCACUGGCAAAUCUAGAGGCCUCGACUCCACUUGUUCCCUCCUAUUUGAUGGCCACCAACCACUACGUCUGGUUCCCAUUUCUGCACAGUUUGUGUAUGCUUCCAACUACACAUGCAUUAGGUGUGGGAGGCAAUUUUGUUCAUGCCGUUGUCUGGUUAUACACAAUGCCACCCGAUGUUCAAAUUUUGUAGCCUGAUCUUUGGCUUGAUUGUUAUCAAGAGCUCCUGUAUGAGAUUGUCCAGGUUUUAAAGAUUGCUUGGAGGUCUGGUUUGUUGAGAAGAAAGGAGGUUUGGUCCCUCUUGUAGACAUUAUGAUGUUAAAUCAUGUUGUCUAUACCAGUACUCAAUGAUUAAAAGUAUGCAUUUCUGAGAUGCAAUUGCAUCCUUAUCUGCAAAAUUUAUAAUUUAUUACCAAACGAACUGAUCAAAAUUAUAUUGACAAAGCAAAAGAUUGUAUAGCAAACUGGAAUGGCUAUGAUUAUUAAUUAAUAUACAGUCUUAAACUUAGCCUUAUUAA